GACGAACGCUGGCGGCGUGCUUAACACAUGCAAGUCGAACGGAGAGGCCCUGCUUUUGUGGGGUGCUCGAGUGGCGAACGGGUGAGUAACACGUGAGUAACCUGCCCUUGACUUUGGGAUAACUUCAGGAAACUGGGGCUAAUACCGGAUAGGAGCUCCUGCUGCAUGGUGGGGGUUGGAAAGUCUCGGCGGUUGGGGAUGGACUCGCGGCUUAUCAGCUUGUUGGUGGGGUAGUGGCUUACCAAGGCUUUGACGGGUAGCCGGCCUGAGAGGGUGACCGGCCACAUUGGGACUGAGAUACGGCCCAGACUCCUACGGGAGGCAGCAGUGGGGAAUAUUGCACAAUGGGCGGAAGCCUGAUGCAGCAACGCCGCGUGCGGGAUGACGGCCUUCGGGUUGUAAACCGCUUUCGCCUGUGACGAAGCGUGAGUGACGGUAAUGGGUAAAGAAGCACCGGCUAACUACGUG
rnacentral:rRNA from 1 species